UGUUUGUUUUGUAGCUGGAAAGCUAUUUGUGUUUACUUCGAGCAAGUGUUGAGCUUUAUUCUUUCUCAUUUUCUUUUUUUUUUCUGUCUGAGGUUUCCUUCCAACUCGUACUCCAAAAUUAGAAAUGAUUCAGUUGUUUCCUGAUGUAAAAUGCUGAUAGCCAUUGCUGGUGCUUCACAACACUUAUUUGGAACAAUCUUGUUAGCACCAAUGGGACCCUUAGCAAAAAGGAAGAGCCCUUGCAAGUUGGCGCCUCUGUAUGUGCAUAAAAUAUGAAUCCUCGUUUCUGCUUGACUUUACAGACUGCAUACAGUAAGAGAAAAUUACUAGAAAACAUCAGUACUCAGGACUGAAUUAUGUGGAGGCACUGAAUAUGGUUAAGGAACGUGAUACUGUAUGCGAGGAAUCUCAGUGGGAUAGUCUGAAGAUCAAAAAAGCAAUAGUUACUGCUCUCAGAAACAUGAGCAUUUAGCCCUUAUUGGAAGAUUUAACACCAGAUCAAUUGCCUCAGUUAAGAACAUUAUCCUCUCCAGAGGUCGAAGAGUCUACAUGAGCCUGUCAUGAAUAUAAAUAAAAAUAUUCUUAAUUAAUUCAUUGGGUGUUCUGAAGUUCACAGAAAGUAAGGGUGUCUUUUGAAGCAAGAGACAUGAAAAAACAAACUCCUGAGUCAGGGUGAUGAGAAGAGGAAAUAAAUCUAUAGAAGAAGACAGUGCUGACAAAAAAUCAGGGAAGUUGCUCUGGAAAAAAAAUGCAACUUUUUUCAUGAAAUUACAGUUGUAACUCUUCCAGUAAUAGCAUCAUUUGCAGGUACCACUAAAAAAAUUUGUAACAGUCAAACACCCAGUUCCACCUCAGAAGUCAUUACUCCGGAUUUAAUUUUCAUGUUAAUUAAAUCCGGAGUAAUUAUCUUAUUAGAAAAGACAAAAGCUGUGAGUAAAGUUAAGGAUUGAGUGUGUAUGCUACAGAUGGAUCUUCAGAAUUUAGGGAGAUACUUAAUGAUAGCAUUGAUUGAUGCUAUGAUUCAAUGCUAUCAUUAAUGAUAGCAUUGAAUUUAGCUCUACAGAUUCUGACACAAGUGAAAUCAUUUCAAGAAGAGCAAAAAUAACUAGGGAAAACUGUAAGAAGGGGCACAGAGUGAUUUCAAAAGCAAAGCAACAAGAUUUAGAUGUUGAAUUGAGAAGGAUUCUGGGAAAAGGAAGUAAGCAGCCAAGUGUGAGGUCUGCUCAAGAAGAGUUGGAAGAGGCAAGGGAUGUAACUAGACCAGACAUUUCAAAAAUAUACGAGAAGAACUUCCAGCAGAGCAAAUCUGAAGAGUCUACUUCCACCCCAGUGCUGCCUGUGAAAGUGGUUGCAAGGUCUAUUGAUGAAAUAAUUGCUUCCCUGCAGUCUACUUCUCCAUCUCCCUCAGACCAGAUGAUCAAAGAACUCCUGGAGAGUGUUCUUGGCCAGAAAUACAACAUAAAAAUGGAACUAGAUGAACCAGAACAAGAGCAAUAUUUUUCUCUUGGGAAGGUGUUUAUAGUUGUCUCAGAAAUGCACUUUCUUGGUGAAGAACCUGAAGCUCCUCUUUAGCUCGUGACUCAGAGGAGUUUGUGAGGAUGUUUUAUCAUGUUUUAGAGAGAAGAGGUCAUAUGUUAUUUAGAGCAGAGGACAUAAAGGAGGAAGAACCUUAAGCGAUGGAACAAGCUGAAAGAAAAAGACAAGUUUGAUUAAAAGAUCAGUCUCAGCUCUGGAGAUGAAUACUUUCAAAGAUGAAACUAUGUUAAAUAUGUCAGUUAAUUUCAAAACCAGCAUGAAAGAAUUGAAGGUUAUGAAGAAAUGGAUAGCUGAGCCAGAAGUUGAGACAGAGAUCAGGGAAAGCUUCCCUACUAAGCAUCUCAUGAACCAAGCAUCUACUGUGGUCAUCCUCAGACAACACAGGCAGAUGUAGAAAAAUACCUACUUUGGCUGGACCAGAGGAUGAGAGUUUUAAGCAGAUUUAUUGUUAUGAAAAUCAAAGAUGCUUACAUGGAAGGCUUCCUAUUCACGAUAAAUUCAAUGCCAAAGUGGUUUCAGCAAUCAAACAUUAUCAGAGCCCCAGCAUCUCUUGUUUGUUAGUUUUUGAAAAGUUUGCAGAAGGGAGGGGAUGGAAUUCCAAAAUAAACUUCUGCUUGCAUGUGGAUCAGCAGAAUAUGGAAGUGUUGCCUGGGUGAAACUUUUCCUCCCUCUGGGACUACUUCUGAGGAGAAGGAUACUGAACUACUGGAAGGAACUGAGACCAUGGACUUCCAAGAAGAAAAUAUAAAAGUAGAAAUUGUUGAUUCAAUGCAGACUAUUCUUCAAAGUGCAACAGUUUGUAGUUGCACUUA